GACGAACGCUGGCGGCGUGCCUAAUACAUGCAAGUCGAACGCUUCUUUUUCCACCGGAGCUUGCUCCACCGGAAAAAGAGGAGUGGCGAACGGGUGAGUAACACGUGGGUAACCUGCCCAUCAGAAGGGGAUAACACUUGGAAACAGGUGCUAAUACCGUAUAACAAUCRAAACCGCAUGGUUUUGAUUUGAAAGGCGCUUUCGGGUGUCGCUGAUGGAUGGACCCGCGGUGCAUUAGCUAGUUGGUGAGGUAACGGCUCACCAAGGCCACGAUGCAUAGCCGACCUGAGAGGGUGAUCGGCCACAUUGGGACUGAGACACGGCCCAAACUCCUACGGGAGGCAGCAGUAGGGAAUCUUCGGCAAUGGACGAAAGUCUGACCGAGCAACGCCGCGUGAGUGAAGAAGGUUUUCGGAUCGUAAAACUCUGUUGUUAGAGAAGAACAAGGAUGAGAGUAACUGUUCAUCCCUUGACGGUAUCUAACCAGAAAGCCACGGCUAACUACGUGCCAGCAGCCGCGGUAAUACGUAGGUGGCAAGCGUUGUCCGGAUUUAUUGGGCGUAAAGCGAGCGCAGGCGGUUUCUUAAGUCUGAUGUGAAAGCCCCCGGCUCAACCGGGGAGGGUCAUUGGAAACUGGGAGACUUGAGUGCAGAAGAGGAGAGUGGAAUUCCAUGUGUAGCGGUGAAAUGCGUAGAUAUAUGGAGGAACACCAGUGGCGAAGGCGGCUCUCUGGUCUGUAACUGACGCUGAGGCUCGAAAGCGUGGGGAGCAAACAGGAUUAGAUACCCUGGUAGUCCACGCCGUAAACGAUGAGUGCUAAGUGUUGGAGGGUUUCCGCCCUUCAGUGCUGCAGCUAACGCAUUAAGCACUCCGCCUGGGGAGUACGACCGCAAGGUUGAAACUCAAAGGAAUUGACGGGGGCCCGCACAAGCGGUGGAGCAUGUGGUUUAAUUCGAAGCAACGCGAAGAACCUUACCAGGUCUUGACAUCCUUUGACCACUCUAGAGAUAGAGCUUCCCCUUCGGGGGCAAAGUGACAGGUGGUGCAUGGUUGUCGUCAGCUCGUGUCGUGAGAUGUUGGGUUAAGUCCCGCAACGAGCGCAACCCUUAUUGUUAGUUGCCAUCAUUCAGUUGGGCACUCUAGCAAGACUGCCGGUGACAAACCGGAGGAAGGUGGGGAUGACGUCAAAUCAUCAUGCCCCUUAUGACCUGGGCUACACACGUGCUACAAUGGGAAGUACAACGAGUYGCGAAGUCGCGAGGCUAAGCUAAUCUCUUAAAGCUUCUCUCAGUUCGGAUUGCAGGCUGCAACUCGCCUGCAUGAAGCCGGAAUCGCUAGUAAUCGCGGAUCAGCACGCCGCGGUGAAUACGUUCCCGGGCCUUGUACACACCGCCCGUCACACCACGAGAGUUUGUAACACCCGAAGUCGGUGAGGUAACCUUUUGGAGCCAGCCGCCUAAGGUGGGAUAGAUGAUUGGGGUGAAGUCGUAACAAGGUAGCCGUAUCGGAAGGUGCGGCUGGAUCACCUCCUUUCUAAGGAA
rnacentral:rRNA from 1 species